GACGAACGCUGGCGGCGUGCUUAACACAUGCAAGUCGAACGGAAAGGCCCCUUUGGGGGUACUCGAGUGGCGAACGGGUGAGUAACACGUAAGUAACCUGCCCUUGACUUCGGGAUAACUUCAGGAAACUGGGGCUAAUACCGGAUAGGAAUCCUUGCUGCAUGGUGGGGGUUGGAAAGCUUCGGCGGUUUUGGAUGGACUCGCGGCUUAUCAGCUUGUUGGUGGGGUAGUGGCUUACCAAGGCUUUGACGGGUAGCCGGCCUGAGAGGGCGACCGGCCACAUUGGGACUGAGAUACGGCCCAGACUCCUACGGGAGGCAGCAGUGGGGAAUAUUGCACAAUGGGCGGAAGCCUGAUGCAGCAACGCCGCGUGCGGGAGGACGGCCUUCGGGUUGUAAACCGCUUUCAGCAGGGGCGAAGCUUGUGGUGACGGUACCUGCAGAAGAAGCACCGGCUAACUACGUG
rnacentral:rRNA from 1 species